GCUGGGUGUGGUGGUGGACACCUGUAGUCCCAGCUACUCGGGAGGCUGAGGCAGGAGAAUCGCUUGAACCCAGGAGGUGGAGGAUGCAGUGAGCCGAGAUUGGGCCACUGCAUUCCAGCCUGGGAGACAGAGUGAGACUCUGUCUCAA
rnacentral:SRP_RNA from 2 species